UCCUUGAUUUUGAUGACUUUCACAGUGUUUUGUACAGAUCCUCAGAGCUUUAUAGCCUUUCAGUUGAGAAAUAUGAAACACUGAAAAUCAAAAACAAAUGCUGGAAAUCUUCUAGAAUGCAAGAUAUUACUAAUAGCCUGUAACUUCUGGGGGAAAACAGGAGGCACCAUGGACCCCAUUCUGCGAAAAACCUCUGUUUUCCCAUAGAACCCCAGGAAUUGACAUGAAAUAAACCUUUCUCAAAAUCUAA
rnacentral:lncRNA from 1 species